rnacentral:rRNA from 1 species
GACGAGGGGUCCUAGCGUUGUUCGGAAUCACUGGGCGUAAAGCGUAUGUAGGCGGGCUUUUAAGUCGGGUGUGAAAUCCCACGGCUCAACCGUGGAAUUGCAUUCGAAACUGGAAGUCUUGAGUGUGGGAGAGAUUGGUAGAAUACCUAGUGUAGUGGUGAAAUACGUAGAUAUUAGGUGGAAUACCGGUGGCGAAGGCGGCCAAUUGGCCCAACACUGACGCUGAGAUACGAAAGCGUGGGGAUCAAAC